CAGGGAAUAGUUUAAAAAGGUAAAAUAUUAACUUUGGGAGUUAAAGAUAGAAGUCUUCUUUCUCUGA
rnacentral:tRNA from 1 species